AUCACUCUGAAUUUUCAAGCGAGGUGUCUAUCGAAUGGCUCUGGAUUUUUCUAAUCCUAAAGAAAAAUGCUAGCGCCGAAGCGGAUGAAAACAGUGACGGGGCCUAACAGACUGGGGCCGCUGUUUAGUGGAAGACAUGAACGGAUUUCUUGCCAAAUGCCUGCUGAUGGGACUAGCUACUGGGACCGUUGCCCUGAUCAUUGGCCCUGACUAUGCCGAAGCAGUAGCUCUGUCAACAGGAGGCUUUCUAGAUGUUCUUGGAAAGUUAUUCGGAAGAAAUGCGGAAACAUCGAAGAAGUGAAUGUGUGCCUUCGGAUACCACGUGACCGUAUUACGGUUAAUAAAGUAGCCGGUCAAAAUUCAAUAAAUGAUUCGAAACAGAA
rnacentral:misc_RNA from 1 species